rnacentral:rRNA from 1 species
AUUCCAGCUCCAAUAGCGUAUAUUAAAGUUGUUGCAGUUAAAAAGCUCGUAGUUGGAUUUCUGGUGGAAGUGACCGGUCUGUCCCUAGUGGAUGUGAACUUGUGUCUACUUUUGCCAUCCUUGGGGAGAGCGUGCCUGGCAUUAGGUUGUCGGGUUCGGGAUCCCCAUCCUUUACUGUGAAAAAAUUAGAGUGUUUAAAGCAGGCUUAUGCCAUUGAAUACAUUAGCAUGGAAUAAUAAGAUAGGACCUCGGUUCUAUUUUGUUGGUUUCUAGAGCUGAGGUAAUGAUUGAUAGGGAUAGUUGGGGGCAUUCGUAUUUAACUGUCAGAGGUGAAAUCCUUGGAUUUGUUAAAGACGGACUACUGCGAAAGCAUUUGCCAAGGAUGUUUUCAUCA